rnacentral:rRNA from 1 species
CUAUACAUGCAAGUCGAGCGAGACAGAAGGGAGCUUGCUCCCGGAUGUUAGCGGCGGACGGGUGAGUAACACGUGGGUAACCUGCCUGUAAGACUGGGAUAACUCCGGGAAACCGGAGCUAAUACCGGAUAGUUCCUUGAACCGCAUGGUUCAAGGAUGAAAGACGGUUUCGGCUGUCACUUACAGAUGGACCCGCGGCGCAUUAGCUAGUUGGUGGGGUAAUGGCUCACCAAGGCGACGAUGCGUAGCCGACCUGAGAGGGUGAUCGGCCACACUGGGACUGAGACACGGCCCAGACUCCUACGGGAGGCAGCAGUAGGGAAUCUUCCGCAAUGGACGAAAGUCUGACGGAGCAACGCCGCGUGAGUGAUGAAGGUUUUCGGAUCGUAAAGCUCUGUUGUUAGGGAAGAACAAGUGCGAGAGUAACUGCUCGCACCUUGACGGUACCUAACCAGAAAGCCACGGCUAACUACGUGCCAGCAGCCGCGGUAAUACGUAGGUGGCAAGCGUUGUCCGGAAUUAUUGGGCGUAAAGGGCUCGCAGGCGGUUUCUUAAGUCUGAUGUGAAAGCCCCCGGCUCAACCGGGGAGGGUCAUUGGAAACUGGGAAACUUGAGUGCAGAAGAGGAGAGUGGAAUUCCACGUGUAGCGGUGAAAUGCGUAGAGAUGUGGAGGAACACCAGUGGCGAAGGCGACUCUCUGGUCUGUAACUGACGCUGAGGAGCGAAAGCGUGGGGAGCGAACAGGAUUAGAUACCCUGGUAGUCCACGCCGUAAACGAUGAGUGCUAAGUGUUAGGGGGUUUCCGCCCCUUAGUGCU